UUGGGUUUGAGGGCGUAACACGAGUUUCGCCCUACAAAGAUUUAUUCGGGAGCUGUCCCUGAUCACGGUGAGCAUGCCCAACAAGUCAUAAAUGUGACUUGCUAAAUGGGAAGCCUAAAGUGAUUACUAAUUGCGCCCACCUGUUUAACAGGGGCGCGAAACCAAAAAUCGUCCUCGAACCCACU
rnacentral:other from 1 species